AUUAAUGUGUUAGCAACAUGUAGGACGUACCUGAUGAUAUUUGUGACAUCAGCAAAUGUGAAUUGUAGGACCCAGUGUCUAAUGAUCAAUGUAGAAACAUCCGAGGCAUUGCUGGGCCUGUGGCACUUUAGAAGAUAAGUUAAAGAAAGGCAUUAUGCAGAGAUGAAGAGACUUGCACAGUAUGAAUUAGUGUGGAGAGGUGCAACAAACCAGUGUUUCAACAGAAGAAGAAGAAGAAGAAGAAGUUAUUGUCACAUCAACAACAACAAUGGUGGUGAUCUGUCACUAUUAAUGAACUAUUCAGAGUUUGCACAGUACUCAAAAUAAGCUGUCUAUAUGCAGUUAACAGUUAAGUUAAACUAAAUUUCAUAUGUGAGAGAACAAAAACAAUACGAGAAUAAAGUUAGCGACUCACUGUGAUUUGGGAUCCGUGUUAAAAGUUCUGUGAAAAUGGAGAAAGUAUCUUACAUUUGAGUGAAGUGUUGACAAACAGAAGCUGAACGUAGUAAAAAUGAAUGCAGAGAGA